rnacentral:rRNA from 1 species
AUUAGUUAAAAGUAUAGAGUAGUCUUUGUUUGAUAAA